CUUACCUUAGCCGCCCUGCUUCUACACUGUUGCUAGGCCACCAUCCGGCCUCCUCCGGCGAGCUCUCUGACCAACAACGACACCAGAGUUGGGUGGAGAUUACUUUCUCCUCUUCUUUCCUGUUCUACUAAUACGACAGUAGUGGCGACAACGGGAUUCCCUUCCCCUUCUCCUCUUAUUUCCCUUCAUUUAUUUAUUUUUAAAUCUUUGCGAACAACUCCCACCCACCAAUUUUUCUUUUCUAGACCUUUCCAUUAAUCUAAUUUCAAUUCUCUCUUUUAAGUCCAAAAAUCACUGCUUAAGCCUAUUUUGUACUUCAAUUUUUAAGUUCCCUUCAAACAAGAAACCCAUCUUCUGCAAAGGUUGCUAGCUGUUUUUCAAGGUAAAUUUUUUGCAAUUCUUUUGGGUUUAAAACUUGCAUGUUGCCAUCUAUUGCAUUUGGCACACCAACAAGCUACCCGCUCAAACCAACCUCAUCAACAAGCUUUCCCGGUUCUGCUGACGCUCAAACUCGGUCUAUCUCUCCAAUACUUCUCUACUUUUCUUCUCACCAUGCGCCGUGAGUGGGCCGGGAUUGAUUAUUUAAGAUUGUGACAUCUUCUCCGACGAAUAGCACCAUCAGAAAAUUCAUCUUCUUCCCAUAUUUUGAUUCCUCCAAGAAAUAUAAAGGUUACAUAAUAAGGGGAAAAGAUGUAACUGAUUGAUGAUGGUAAGUUCAACUAAGGAGUCAUCUUUAUCCUUAAUGUUUUUGGAAAAAAUUCACUGCAAUUUUCAUAUUCUCUUACAACAGCCCUUUGUAGACCACCCCAAAUCCACCUAGGUUGAGCUUGUGAAAGGGAGUUCAAAUGUAGAUAUGAGAAAAGGUGAGAGGAGGAUGAUCCAAAUGAACAUAAUGAGCAGAGCUCAUUUGGAUUUAGAUUUUUUUUUGAAAGAUUUUUUUAGUUUUAUAUAUUUUUAUUUUUUUAUACUAUUAUUUUCUUUUGAAUUUUUAAAAUUUUUUUAAAUGAUGAUGUCAUAAUGAUAUCACCAUUGCCAUAUGUCUUCAUUUCAGAGUACCACGUGUCUUGAAUUUAACGCCGUUAGAUUUGGGUACCAAUUUAGUUGACCAAAAAAAAACUUGGGUACCAAUCUGGAAUAAAAAAAUUCAUAAGAACCAAUUUGGGGAAAGUUGACAA